UAGGAAACCUAAGCUGUUUCAUGACAGGCAAUACGUACAUUUCUUGCGUUGUCUCUUUCAUUACUUACAACGUGACCUAUCUUAUUUCGUCAAUUGUACUGACUCAGUUUUGCGGCUUGAUUUUGGUUGCACGACAACACUUAAUUUUCGUAAACCGGGCAUUAUUUAACUUAUCAAAAGACCCGCAGCAAGCAAUAGAAAAAAUGAACGAAUUGAUGACCUAUCACUUCGAAGUCUGCGACAUGACUAUCAAGAUAAAUCAAGCGUUUUCCGCACACUUGCUUCUGAUAAUUGUCCGCACUUUUGUGGAAUUUUUCAAUUCCUUGCACUCUAUUGUUAAAGAAAAGUCGCAUUUGCUGGUCAUGUACGACUUUUUCUGGAGCACUUGUGCGAUUUUCGAAUUCAUUUUUAUGCUGUUUGCCUGCAAACGCGCCACUGAAACAUGCUCGAGGACCGGCCGGAUUUUGAACCUUUUGCAAACCCACAAUAACAAUAAGUUAAAUUUGCUUCGGAACGUCUUUUUGCUACAGAUUAGACACAAACACGUAACGUUUUCGGCCAACAGCUUGUUUUCCAUUGAUAACAAAAUGUUCUUACAUUUGAUCAGUACCAGUGUGGCGUACCUCCUUAUCAUAAUACAGUUUGAGAAAGAGUAAACAAACUUACACAAAAAUUCUGAAAGUGGCUGGCAGUCAACGUGCAAUCCCCAGUGUUGGCACUAGACCUGAAAAUUUAUAAAACGCUUAUAAUAGGGAGAAACAUCAAAAUAUCAGUGUUUUUUCUUUAGAGGCGGUUAGAUUUGUUCGUUAUUUUUGAGGUUAUGAAGCAACAAGAAAGAAACAAUGUAAUUACCGGUC